AUCCUCGGGAUACAGAUUACC
rnacentral:miRNA from 2 species